GAGGGUAUAGCUCAGUGGUAGAGCAUGUACUUAGCAUGCACAAAGUCCUAGGUUCGAUCCCCAGUUCCUCCA
rnacentral:tRNA from 1 species